rnacentral:rRNA from 1 species
UACGUAGGGUGCGAGCGUUAAUCGGAAUUACUGGGCGUAAAGCGUGCGCAGGCGGUUUUGUAAGCCAGACGUGAAAUCCCCGGGCUUAACCUGGGAAUGGCAUUUGGGACUGCAAGGCUUGAGUGCGGCAGAGGAGACUGGAAUUCCCGGUGUAGCAGUGAAAUGCGUAGAUAUCGGGAGGAAUACCGAUGGCGAAGGCAGGUCUCUGGGCUGACACUGACGCUCAUGCACGAAAGCGUGGGGAGCAAACAGG